ACGCUCGACACCUACGGGAGGCAGCAGUGGGGAAUAUUGCACAAUGGGGGAAACCCUGAUGCAGCGACGCCGCGUGGAGGAAGAAGGUCUUCGGAUUGUAAACUCCUGUUGUUGGGGAAAAAGNGGAUGGUACCCAACAAGGAAGUGACGGCUAACUACGUGUCAGCAGCCGCGGUAAUCUGAGCGGGCUGGCAAGGC
rnacentral:rRNA from 1 species